GAGGGAGGGGCCCUGGUGGGAGUUGCCCACUAGUUCAAUCCUUCCCAGAGAGACUCAUCACAGCGCCUUUCAGCAUCUUCCUAUAUCGCUGCUGCCCGAUAUAGUACCAGCCGGGAUUCAAACCAGCAACCUUCUGCUUUUUAGUCAAGCAUUUUCCUGCUGCGCCACUUAAGGUGCAGCGGGGAAAUGCUUUAUCUGUUACAGAAAGAUUUUCACAUAUUUGAACAUUUUUAUUUCUCCUUUUUAAAUCAUAUUAUAUACAUAAUUAUAUUAUAUACAAUGUUAUGUGCAUAAUUAAGUAAAAUCUUUAUGUAUGAAAUUUUGAAUACACACUAACUGUAUUUAUUUCAAAUUUUUAUUUUUUACUAUAACUAAGGGGGCUCAACAGCAUGUUGCAUUGGGGCGCCAGAUCCCCCAGAGGUGGCCCUGCACCCAACCCACCUCGCAGAUGCACAUGGAGACAAGCCUGAGUCUUACUUAUUCCAGUGCAAUAUACUUUCAUGCAUAUCCGUCGCUAAUCCUAUGUGUGGCAGCACUCGCGAGAGUUCGAGCAGCUGUCGGAUAGCGAUGGGGAUGGGAGAGAGGGAAGAAAAUGGAGGUGGCAACCAGCUGGCUGGUGAGGAAACAAAACAGUGGAAAAUAAUGCUCAGGAUCACCAAUGCAGAUUAGAGCCCUAUGUGGAAAGGGAAAAGCCGGAUGUUCAAGCUGGUUUCAGAAAAGGCCGAGGAACAAGAUACAUCAUUGCUGGCACACGAUGGAUAAUUGAGGAAGCCAAAGGAUACCAAAAAGAAGUCAAUAUGUGCUUUAUUGACUACAGAAAAGCCUUCAGUUGCAUCGGCCAUGUCAAGCUGUGGGAUAUCCUUAGAAAAAUGGGCAUCCCAGAAAAUCUCAUUCUUCUCAUGAGAAACCUAUACACAGGACAGGAAGCCACAGUCCAGACAGAACAUGGUAAAACAGUCUGGCUCCAGAUUGGCAAAGGAGUAAGACAUGGCUGUCUACUUUCUCCUUAUUUAUUCAACAUAUGCUGAACAUAUACUGAGAGAAGCUGGACUGGAAGAUGAGCAUGGUUUUAAAGUUGGAGGAAGAAACAUCAAUAACGUGCACUACGCUGAUGACACCACUCUGCUAGUUGAGAAUGUGGAUGAUCUGCAAGCUCUAGUAAUGAAAGCUGCUGCCACCAUGGAGGAAAGGGAGGCCUGCUCCACUCACCCCUCAGCCACCACCCCUCGGCCACGAGCUGCACAUGACAGCUGAAAUUUUGAAGAAGAAAAAUGGAGGUUGAGCACAGCAGGGUUCAUUUAUAGGAUGUGCUUCAGAAACCAAGUCAUUUAUGCCUGAAGAUAUAUCUGAUUCCCUGUAACUAGUUGAAGCUAUGUGUUCAGAUGUUGCAACUACAGGUAGUAAAGAUACUGGAACAAUGAGGCCAGAAGAAGUACUGGGCCUGGGUUGUCAAGCCACUGAACAAAGCUCCCCAGAGAACCCUGUCUCAGAGGAGACUUCACUUCCUGAAGGCCCAGCCAGGGUGUUACAGAUUUGGAAGGUGCAGGAGGAAUUGAACAGGGAUUAUAUGGAGCCUGUGGGAGCGAAUGAUGAAGAAGAGGUGGUGGGCUGGAGGGGCAGAAGUCACCCUUAUUAAGCCUGAUCUGGUGCAAAAGGAGCAGUACUUGCCAGGCAGGACUUAUAAGAUCCAGGGAUAAGAAGUAGGCCUCAGGCUUCUGAAGAGUAGACAGCACCUACAGAGCCCCAGCCCAGAGCAAACGAUCCCAGAGACAUCAAUGCAGACAGUUUACUGCACGGGGAGCAUGCUGCAGAAUUCCUUGCUGAACAAAAGCAGGAUGAAUCCUGUUCAGGUAAUGGGACAUGAUGUCCAUAAAAUGUAUUUCUGAAUAUAACUAUGAUAUGUGUAUUGAUAUUGCAAAGGUGAUAAAAAGUGUUUAUUAAUUUUUAUAUGUGUAACUGGUAAAAGAAAAAGGUAAAGUAUUAAAUGUACUGCAUAUUAAAACCCACAAUGCUUCACCCAUUGCCUAGGAGAGGUUUGGGAAAACCUCCCCUGAAGCAAUGAGAGAAAGGGUGGGACAUGUGACGGAUCCCACAAAUGGGAGUGAAGAGUAAAGCCAGAAAAAUGUUCUGUCUGUGUGUCACCCAGCAGAACCUGCCCAGAAAGAGUAAAUGGCAGGCAGAAUCAGAGUCUGUGACUAACAGCCAGAGAAGGGACCAGUCUGGAAGAGAUACAUUAGGCAAGUUCUGGAGGGAAAAAGGGAGUUCUGUGAAAGCACUGCUUGGGUAUAGUCGUGUUCUGCUCUGAUCUACUGAGAACAAUUUUAAGAAUCACAGUAAUUUUAACACUCCACAGUAAAUGACAGCCUUAUCGUUGUGGGUGGGCCCCCUUUGUCUCCACAGUAUAUUAGGGCCACAGUAUAUUACUAAUAUUAAUUAAAUACAUACCUUUUAUAAAACACAGCAAGCACAAGGCGAAGAGCUGACGAAGCACACCCAAACUGAGGAGGCCGACGCAAUGAAAAAUAUUUGCUGUCUUUGCAAUGUGGGCAUGGGCAAUAGCUCGCAUGUCAAGGGCGUAGGGACUGAGCAGUGACUCGCGGAGGAUCUGCUCAAGGGCCAGCUGCAUGGUGUUGCUCAGCAGCAUCAGGCCCAAGGUGGCCAGUGGAGUGGCAGCAGUGGCGGGCGGGAGCCACAGCGGGCAUGUGCAUCCCGCCAGCACCCGCUGCCCUCUGCCAGGUGCCCCCAGCCGGGUGGGCAUAAUAUUCUUAAAUAUAAAGUAUCCUUAUAUAAAGUGUGUGUGUGUGUAUAUAUAUAUAAUUUUUUUUAAUUAAAAUAGUAAUACGACAUAAAUUUUAGUUGCAUACAGUAAUAAUAUUGGAACUUCUAUUUUAUUCAAACUACUAAAAGGUCAUUAACAUUUUUAACAUAUUGUCUAAUGUUUAAGGGGGCUGACAACCUGGUCAGUCCGCCACUGGACAUCAGAUGUAGGGGGGGCCUGUCUGGGGCUGUACUCGCGACCCCUGAUUGGUGGCAGCCUGGGUUCUUUGAAUCCGUUCACUUAAUAAUGGCUCUGCCCCUGUUCAGAAUUCAUAAUGAAAACACUGAAGUGGUGGAUAACUUUUAGGAUCAACCAUCAACAGUAAAGGAUCCAGCAGUCAAGAAAUAUGUCGCAGUCUAGCACUUGGUGAGGUUGCAAUGAAGGCCUUGGAAAGGAUAUUUAUUAUUUUAUUAUCAUUAUUAUCUACAUUUUAUAUCCCGCUCUUCCUCCAAGGAGCCCAGAGCAGUGUACUACAUACUUAGGUUUCUCCUUACAACAACCCUGUGAAGUAUGUUAGGCUGAGAGAGAAGUGAGUGGCCCAGAGUCCAGAGCCGUGACGUGUCUACACCUACAAAGAUUAGAAUAGUUCAGAACAUGGUUUUUCCCGUGACACUCUCUGGAUGCAAAAGCUGGACUUUGAAGGAGCAAGAAAGAAAAAGUAUUGACGCUUUUGAACUUUGGUGCUGGAGAAAACUUUUGAGGAUACCAUAGACAGCCAGGAAAACAAACAAAUGGAUCAUAGAGCAAAUCAAUGCAGAAUUUUCACUCAAGGCACAAAUGACCAGGCUCAAACUAUCAUACUUUGGACACAUUAUGCGAAUACCCAGCUCCCAGCUCCAUAACGCUGAAGUUGAAGGAAAGAGAAGUUGAAGGAAAGAGAAGACGAUGACCAGCAGCAAGGUGGAUGGACUUGAUUACGACAGCAAUGAAUGCAUCACUGAGAGAUCUUAAAGGCCAAGUUGAAGGCAGAUAAUCCUGGAGAGAAUCUAACUAUGUGGUCACAAGAAUCAACACCAACUUGAAAGCACUUAAUCAAAAUCUUUACAGAUUGCAUAGCACAUAGGUUCAGGUAACCACCUUAACUUGCAUUAUCCAUGCAUUUUACAGCAUGAGUGAAAAUUGUAAGCACUUUAGUUCUCAUCUUAAACCAAUUCUUUUCUUGAUAUUUUAAUUAUAUAUAAUGUACUGAACACUGCUUUUGACUUAAAAAGUAAAUUCCGUCUUUAAAAACUAGUGGCAUUCAGAUUUCCUAAAUUCGAGGAUUAUAUUCCACAUUGCUUUUCCUGUUGAAGAAUCUAAAUUUCUGCCAUGACAUUAUUGCCAAUUGCAGAGUUUUCUGCAACAAGUUGCGGAAUGCACACCCACUUCAUUUAGGGAACUGGCCAGAUUUCCUGAACCUCCUCAUUUCUCCAAAUAAAUGAAAAGCCAUAGCAUACACCUUAUACUCACCUGUGUUUACGCUUGAAUUGAAACAAGCUUUUGUUUGGAAAAGCUUAUCAUUCACUACUAAUAUUCUCAUUGAAGAACUCCCAGUUAGCUUCCACAGGUGUUUCUGAAAACACAAACUGACAACACCACUCUAAAUUAUUUGCUUGGAGAAGUGCAAAGAAGCUUAUCUUCUGCUUCCUGCAACUUUCUAUAGAAGUGAAGUCUACACAAUGAGCCCCUGGUGGCGCAGUGGUAAAACUGCCGCCCUGUAACCAGAAGGUUACAAGUUCGAUCCUGACCAGGGGCUCAAGGUUGACUCAGCCUUCCAUCCUUCCGAGAUCGGUAAAAUGAGUACCCAGAAUGUUGGGGGCA